UACGUAGGAGACGAGCGUUGUCCGGAGUUACUGGGCGUAAAGGGUGCGCAGGCGGCCUUGCGCGUCGCGAGUGAAAUCUCCCGGCUCAACUGGGAGGGUGGUCGCGAGACGGCAGGGCUUGAGGCUCGGUGAGGGGCGUGGAAUUCCGGGUGGAGCGGUGAAAUGCGUAGAGAUCCGGAGGAACACCGACGGCGUAGGCAGCGCCCGUAGACGAGACCUGACGCUCAGGCACGAAAGGCGCGGGGAGCGGAAACAGGAUUAGGAAACCCC
rnacentral:rRNA from 1 species